rnacentral:tRNA from 1 species
GCGCCCGUAGUUUAGCUGGUAAAAAUGAUCCCCUGUCACGGGAUAGACCGUGGGUUCGAAUCCCAUCGGGCGCG